GCGUGCAGGACGAAGGCCUUCGGGUUGUAAACUGCUUUUGUACAGAACGAAAAGCCUUGGGUGAAUACCCUGAGGACAUGACGGUACUGUAAGAAUAAGCACCGGCUAACUACGUGCCAGCAGCCGCGGUAAUACGUAGGGUGCGAGCGUUAAUCGGAAUUACUGGGCGUAAAGCGUGCGCAGGCGGUUUUGUAAGACAGAGGUGAAAUCCCCGGGCUCAACCUGGGAACUGCCUUUGUGACUGCAAGGCUGGAGUGCGGCAGAGGGGGAUGGAAUUCCGCGUGUAGCAGUGAAAUGCGU
rnacentral:rRNA from 1 species